rnacentral:rRNA from 1 species
UACGUAGGGUGCGAGCGUUGUCCGGAAUUACUGGGCGUAAAGAGCUCGUAGGUGGUUUGUCGCGUCGUCUGUGGAAUUCCGGGGCUUAACCUCGGGCGUGCAGGCGAUACGGGCAAUACUUGAGUGCUGUAGGGGAGACUGGAAUUCCUGGUGUAGCGGUGAAAUGCGCAGAUAUCAGGAGGAACACCGAUGGCGAAGGCAGGUCUCUGGGCAGUAACUGACGCUGAGGAGCGAAAGCAUGGGUAGCGAACAGGAUUAGA